UACAGAGGGUGCGAGCGUUAAUCGGAAUUACUGGGCGUAAAGGGCGCGUAGGCGGUGUGUCAAGUCAGGCGUGAAAGCCCCGGGCUCAACCUGGGAACAGCGCUUGAGACUGGCACGCUCGAGUUCGGGAGAGGAUGGUGGAAUUCCCAGUGUAGAGGUGAAAUUCGUAGAUAUUGGGAAGAACACCGAUGGCGAAGGCAGCCAUCUGGACCGACACUGACGCUGAGGCGCGAAAGCGUGGGGAGCAAACAGG
rnacentral:rRNA from 1 species